CGUGGGAAUCUACCUUGAGCUACGGGAUAACAGAGAGAAAUUUCUGCUAAUACCGUAUGUGGCCUUUGGGCGAAAGAUUUAUCGGCUUAAGAUGAGCCCGCGUUGGAUUAGCUGGUUGGUGGGGUAAAGGCCUACCAAGGCGACGAUCCAUAGCUGGUCUGAGAGGAUGAUCAGCCACACUGGGACUGAGACACGGCCCAGACUCCUACGGGAGGCAGC
rnacentral:rRNA from 1 species